rnacentral:lncRNA from 1 species
GCGCCGACGCUCGGACACCGCCCCCGAGUGCGAGGCCCGGCGCGGAACCGGCAGCCGAGAGCCUGGCGGGGGCGGGGCGCACCGCGCCGCUCCCGGGAGUCUCCGGGCUGCGGUCGCGGAAUACGACUUUGAUCCGCGGGUGAGGGCUCUGUGAAUGGGCAAGCAAAGCCCUCUGACUCCGGGCCUCGUGGCUGGGUGCUGUGUGUUAAGCGCCUGCGCUGUACUAGGACCGGGCGUGCCGCCGUCGGCAAAAAGUGACGCUUUCUUGAAGCACAAAGUCCAGGGGGGACGACCAAGCGGACAGCGGAUGCGUCCUGCGCCGGUAGCCAGGCGACCGGUGGAAGAGCAGAGUCCAGCGCGGGCGAUGCGGCGGGGCCAGGCUUGCUGCGCCGCGGGGUGAUUGGGAGAAGAGCCUUCCUGCGGGGUGGAGGACGAAGAGCUGCCCUGAGGAGGUCCCGGAGUCUGGUGGGAACGGCCUCUUCGGGACUGCUCCGAGAGACGGUGUGCAGAGCCUGGCGUGCUCGCCGAGGUCUGACAGGCAGCCCGGGGCUAGGUCCUGUUGGAUUUUUUUUUCUAAGGAAAAUGGGAAGUGGUGGUAGGGUUUGAGCAGUGGAGUCCCGGGCAGUUUUAAAAGGAUCCCUGCAGCUGCCGGCUGGGAGGGCGUGGGUGCGCGUAAGGCCGGAAUCACAGAGACCAGGUAGAAGAUGAUUACGAGAACCCAGGAACGUGGCCCUCAGGAGGCCGGCAGUACCAAGGGGACAGCAGCUGGGAGGAGAGAGGCAGGAGAUGGUCAGGGGCCAGACCAGGGAAGGCCGCGGAGACCGCAGAAUUCGCUCUGAAUGAGUGGGGAGGCCCUUGGAAGAGUAAGGGGUCCAACUUAACUUUUUUUUUUUUUUUUUUUUUUGACACAGAGUCUCGCUCUGUCGCCAGGCUGGAGUGCAGUGCGAUCUCGGCUCACUGCAACCUCCAACACCCCGAUUCAAGCAAUUCUCCUGCCUCAGCCUCCUGAGUAGCUGGGAUUAUAGGCACGCGCCACCCAGCUAAUUUUUUGUAUUUUUAGUAGAGACGGGUUUUCACCAUGUUGGCCAGGAUGGUCUCGAUCUCCUGACCUCGUGAUCCGCCCGCCUCGGCCUACCAGAGUGCUGCGAUUACAGGCGUAAGCCACCGCGCCUGGCCACCAACUUAACUUCUGCCAGGAUCAUGGGAAGUGGUAGGGUUUGGGGUCUGAUUUCAAGAGGGAGCUGCUGUGGAGUAUCAGCACAGCUUACUGAGAUAUCAGAAAGGCCUUGGUAAAGAGCCCUUUACUGAGACAGGGAGCACAUUUUGGCAGAGGUUUGAAUUGGAGCGUGUUAAGUGUAGUGUCUUCUUCACCACUGUGACGUGAGGUCCUGGCGCAAAUAAUUGAGCACAGAAAUACAUGUCAGGCAUUGCUAGGCACAAGGGUACAGCCAGUGAGCAGGGCUGCCAUGGUCCCUGCCCUCUUAGAGCUGACCUUCAGGUCUGAGGGAGACUGAAAAAUAAGUAAGAAUACCUCCAGCCGGGCGCUUUGGCUCACGCCUGUAAUCCCAGCACUUUGGGAGGCCAAGGUGGGUGGAUCACCUGAGGUCAAGAGUUCGAGACCAGCCCAACCAAUAUAGUCAAACCCCAUCUCUACUGAAAUUAUUAAAAUUAGCUGGGCGUGGUGGUGGGCACCUGUAAUGCCAGCUACUCGGGAGGCUGAGGCAGGAGAAUCGCUGGAACCCAGGAGGCAGAGGUUACAGUGAUCCGGGAUCGCGCCACUGCACUCCAGCAGCCUGGGCGACAGAGGGAGACUCCAUCUCAAAAAAAAAAAAAAAAAAAAAAUACACCUCCAAUGCUGAAAGCUACGAAGGAAACAAAACCAUGUGCGAGUGAUAGGGCAGCCCCUCUGGGAAGUGACAUUUGUGCCCAGAUCUGAAGAAAGAAAAGGAGCCACUCAUACAGAAAGACUGAGACAAGAUGAGCUUUCGGGACAAGUCAGGCUCUAGGGAGAACACCUGACGAGGAAAAUGCCUGGGCAGUUUGAGGAACUGAAAAGCCAGUGUGUCUGGAGCUUAGUGAGGGAGGCAGAGAGCACGGGAGGUGUGGUUACCAAGGUAGGUGGGACCGGCUCUGGCCCUGGGUAAAAAGUUUGACUUUCAUUCCAAGAGUAAUGGAAAAUAAUGAAGAAUUUUGAACUCGAGGUGGUGCAUGCCUGUAAUCCCAGCACUUUGGGAGGCUGAAGCAGGCAGAUCGCUUGAGCCCAGGAGUUUGAGAUUAGCCCGGGCAGCAUAACAGGGCAGCAUCUCUACAAAAAUUUUAUUUUUGGCCGGGCGCGGUGGCUCACACCUGUAAUCCCAGCACUUUGGGAGGCCGAGGGGGGGCAGAUCUCCUGAGGUCAGGAGUUCGAGACCAGCCUGACCAACAUGGCGAAACCCCGUCUCUACUAAAAAUACAAAAAAUUAGCCGGGCAUGGUGGCACGCGCCUGUAAUCCCAGCUACUUAGGAGGCUGAGGCAGGAGAAUCGCUUGAACCCGGGAGGCGGAGGUUGCAGUGAGCCAAGAUCACGCCACUUGCACUCCAGCCUGGGCAACAAGAGAGAAACUCCAUCUCAAAAACAAACAAAUCCAGACCAGCCUGGCUAACAUGGCAAAACCCCCUCUCUACUAAAAAUAGAAAAAUUGGCUGGGCAUGGUGGUAAGCACCUGUAAUCUCAGCUGCAUUGGCGGCUGAGGCAGGAGAAUCACUUGAACUCAGAAGGUGGAGGUUGCAGUGAGCACAGAUCACACCACUGCACUCCAGCCUGGGCAACAGAGCAAGACUCUCAAAAAAAAAAAGUUUUGAAGGGAGCAGAUCCACUUUAAAAGCUCACACUGGUUCUUGAGUGAUGACCAAAUGGCACUGUGCCUUAUGCAGAGCCGACUCCUGGCAGUUUGCACAGGCUGGAGGUGGAGCUGCAGACUCCCUCUCCCUCUCGGCCUUGCCUCUGUAAAUGGGAAAGCCGUUGACAUUCACAAAAGAGGGGCAGGGAACUGCUACACAAGAGCAGCUACACAAGAGGGUCCUUUGGUCCACACAGGAAACAAGCCAUAGUGAUGACAUAUUUUGAAGCUGUUAGAUGUUUUGUUUCCCUAGCUGGCUAUUAUUUUUGUAUGGCUUGUCUUUCUCUUUUGAGUAUGUGUGAGAACAGGAUGGGUUAACAUUAGGGAAGAGCACAGAAGAGGAAGGAAGGAAAGAAGGAAGGGAGGGAGGGAAAGGAGAGAGAAUAGGGAUGAGAAGCUCAGCUUGUAGAAUUGGCAGGUGAUGUUUGCAGUCAUUAAUCAUUUGAGAAGUAGAGAGAGAAGCCAAGCAGGAAAUCUUCAUACUGGAAAAGAAGUGCUCACCAUUAAAAAAAAAAAAAAAAAAAAUCCAGUGUGGUUCACAGCUGUAAUCCCAUCACUUGGAGGCUGAGGCAGGAGAAAUACGUGAAGCCAGGAGUUUGAGACCAGCCUGGGCAAUAUAACAAGACCCACAUCUCUACAAAGAGAAAAAAAAUGUAAAAAAAAGAAGCUUUAAACCUAAGACGGCAGAAUUCAAGACUGUUGUCCUUGAGAACUUCCUGGCUCUGGAAAAAGCUCAGUGAGUUAGUCUCAUCCUGUCGUUAGCUCUGUUUUUUAGGGGCUCACUUUGUCUUCACGACAGUACCUUGCACCAUUCUCAUGGGUAUCCCAGGGUGGUGCAAGGCAGUUUUCUGCACUUCCCAGAAUGCCCUGUCAGCUGGCUUCUGGGUAGGUUCUGCAAAUUGGAGGCCCCUGUGAAAGAUCGCUGUGGGGUGGGAGGAAGAAGCUUUAUCUGCCUGCUGGCUGCAGGGUAGAGGACUGCAGUGGGGUUAUAGGGAUCACCACCUGCACAUGUGGAGCUUUGAGCGGCUUCACUCUAAGUUUCUGCUCAACAGUGGCAGCCCUGGAGUCCUUCGGGGGCGAGUGUGGGCUCCUGGGCUCCAGGCCAGGGGCAGUCCCAGCUUCCUGAUCUCGAGGUAGCGUCUCCUCCCUUUUGCUCCAUAGCACCUCGCCCUUCUCAGUGACGUGCCUCCUUCUCAGUCAUGCGCCUCCAGCUCUAACAAUGUCCUUGAAAACAAUUCUUGACCAUGCGCCGUGGCUCACGCCUGUAAUCCCAACACUUUGGGAGUCUGAGGCAGGCGGAUCACUUGAGGUCAGGAGUUUGAGACCAGCCUGGCCAACAUGUAAUCCCAGCUACUCCCUCCACUUGAUUUGUGUUCCUUGAAGAAAUUUGCAUAAUCCCUGUAUCUGGUUGGCAGAUAGCAGAGAUGUAGCCUCAGUCUUUCCUUUAAAAAUUUUGCUUUAGGCAGGGCGCGGUGGCUCACACCUAUAAUCCCAGCACGUUGGGAGGCCAAGGUGGGCAGAUCAUGAGAGCAGGAAUUUGAGAUCGGCCUAGCCAAUAUGGUGAAACCCCGUCUCUACUAAAAAUAUAAAAAUUAGCUGGGCGUGGUGGCACAAGCCUGUAAUCCCAGCUAUUUGGGAGGCUGAGGCAGGAGAAUCGCUUGAAUCCAGGAGGCAGAGGUUGAGAUGAGCCGAGAUCACGCUAUUGCACUCCAGCCUGGGCAACAGAGGGAUACUCCAUCUCAAAAAAAAUUUUUUGCUUUAGGGCCAAUCGUGGUGACACACGCUUGUAAUUCUGGCACUUUGAGAGGCCGAGGCAGGUGGAUAAUUUGAGGUCAGGGGUUCGAGAGCAGACUGGCCAUGAUGGUGAAAUCCCAUCUCUACUAAAAAUACAAAAAAAGCCAGGUAUGGUGGCAUACGCCUGUAAUCCCAGCUACUCGGGAGGCUGAAGCAGGAGAAUCACUUGAACCCGGGAGGUUUAGGUGGCAUUGAGCCGAGAUUGCACCACUGCACUCCAGCCUGGGUGACAGAGCGAGACUCCAUCUCAAAAAAAAAAAAAAGGGCCGGACGCGGUGGCUCACGCCUUUAAUCCCAGCACUUUGGAAGGCCGAGGCGGGUGGAUCACCUGAGGUCAGGAGUUCAAGACCAGCCUGGUCAACAUGGUGAAACCCCGUCUCUACUAAAAACAUUAAAAAAUUAGCCGGGCAUGGUAGUGGGCGCCUGUAAUACCAGCUACUGAGGAGGCUGAGGCAGGAGAAUUGCUUGAACCCAGGAGACAGAGGUUGCAGUGACCUGAGAUUGUGCCACUACACUCCAGCCUGGGCAACAAAGCAAGACUCUGUCUUAAACAAACAAAAAGCCCAGUGUGGUGGUGUAUAUUUGUGGUCCUAGCUACUUUGAAGGCUGAGGUGGGAGGAUUGCUUGAGUACAACAUGUAGAGGCUGCAGUGAGCUGUGAUUGUGCCACUGCACCCCAGUGUGGGUGACAGAGCAAGACCCUGUCUCAAAAUAAUAAAAUUAACAUUCAUUAACAAUAAUGUUAAUAUAUAUGUUAAUGUAUAUGUUAAUCGUAAUGUUUAUAUUUUACCAUGAUAAAAACAUUUUAAAAUCAUAUAUCAACUCUUGCCGUUCUCCUGUUGAAAACUCUCCAAUGACUUCCCACUCCAUCAUCCUGUGGGAUGGGUCCACCAUGCUGGACCACAAGGCUCUGCACAAUGCGGCUCCCACCAGCCUCUCCCCUUGGCCCAGAUUGCUUCCUCCUACCCCUUUCUCUAGCUGCCAGGCCCCCCAACCCCCGCAUGGAGCCCUUCAGCAGCUCUGUGAGCUCCCUGCCUGUUGGCAGCCAUCACAGCAACGGGCUCUGGUGUGCCCCUUGUUAUCCCUGUAUUCAGGCCAUUAUCUGUAAUGACAGCCUGGCAUAAUUUUAUUUUCACAAUUUGUAUAAUUAUAUUCUAUUGAGCUAAAUGAUCAUUAUAAUCAUUAUUAAAUAUUUAUUAAGCACUUCUAGCUGUGCAAACAUAAUAAGAUGUGGCCUCAGCUCUUAAAAUCUUUCUUCCUAAUUCCAACCCAAAUUCAUUUCAACUUAACCAAUCUUCCUUCUUGGAGAAGGAGGGAACUUCGGCGUUUUGUCUGGGUUUCCAUGCCCGAGCUUAUAGGAGCUUCUUAGCAAUGCUGUGGAGCAGAUGCUAUUGACUUCAGUUUACAGAUAAGGAAACAAUCAGACUGAGGAAGCUAGUAUUAAUAAGUAGCAGAGAUUAAGAUUUGCCUGUGGUUCUUUUUUACACAAAGCCUCUCCCACUCCUUUCAUGCACUGUUAGCCAAGUUUACUAGAAUAGGCAACUUCCUUUUUAAAAAAUCCUGUUUACAUUUUAGGUGCCAAACACUGUGCUAAUCCAGUGGGGGAAACAUAUGCUCAAAAAGAUCACUCUGAGACCAGGCAUGGUGGCUCAUGCCUGUAAUCCCAAGCCUUUGGGAGGAUGAGGUCUGAGGACUGCUUGAGGCCAGGAGUUUGAGAUGAGCCUGGGCAACAUAGUAAGGCCCCUUCUGUACAAAAAAUUUAAAAACUAGCCAGGCCUGGUGGCAUGUGACUACAGGCUGCAGUAAGCUAUGAUCGUGCCACUGCACUCCAGCCUGGGUGACAGAAUGAGACCCUGUCUCUAAAAACAAAACAAAACUCAAGCAGUAUCCUAAGUCAGGGUCCAAGCAGUAAUGGAAAUGGGUGAAGCUGACAGGCGAGUGAUAGAGAAUGGAGGGGUCUGUAGCAAACGUGACGACUCUGGCUUACCUAAGAGGGCAGCCAAUUUUGCCAUGAGGCAAUGUGGGAUCAGUGAGUGCUGUUCCAGUCUUCAAUUUCGAUUUAUAAGUAAAAUCUCCAAUAUUUUAUAUGUUGGCAACUUUGGCAUUCCUUUCCUUAAACCUCACUGCCACCCCGCACCCCAAUUCAUUUCAGUAGGGAUCAGAUAGCCAACAUCCUUAUAAAAUCAAAAGUAUACAGGCCGGGUGCAGUGGCUCACACCUAUAAUCCCAGCACUUUGGGAGGCCGAGGCAGGCGGAUCACGAGGUCAGGAGAUCGAGACCAUCCUGGCUAACAUGGUGAAACCCCGUCUCUACUAAAAAUACAAAAAAAAAAUUAGCCGGGCGUGGUGGCAGGCGCCUGUAGUCUUAGCUACUUGGGAGGCUGAGGCAGGAGAAUGUUGUGAACCCGGGAGGCGGAGCUUGCAGUGAGCUGAGAUCACGCCACUGCACUCCAGCCUGGGUGACAGAGCGAGACUCCAUAUCCCAAAAGAAAAAAAAAAAAAAGAUACAAAUCUUAAUUGGCAUAAACCAGUCCUAGUAAUAUCAUGCCCUUUGGCCAGUCGUUGGUCACAGGGUGAGCUAAUGACCCAACUCUGACAAAUUACAUGUAAGAGGAAUACUGCUAAAAAGAUAUUUUCGGCCAGGCGUGGGGGCUCACACCUGUAAUCCCAGUACUUUGGGAGGCCGAGGCGGGCAGAUCACUUGAGGUCAGGAGUUUGAGACCAGCCUUGGCAACAUGGUGAAACCCCAUUUCUACUAAAAAUACAAAAAUUAGCCGGGCAUGCUGGUGGGUACCUGUAAUCUCAGCUACUCGGGAGGCUGAGGCACAAGAGUCACUUGAACCCAAGAGGCACAGGUUGCAGUGAACCAAGAUCAUGCCACGGCACUCCAGCCUGGGCGAUACAGUGAGACUCAGUCUCAAAAAAAAAAAAAAAAAAAAGAGUAUCUUUUCUUCAGUAAAAAGACAAAGCUGUUUGGGUGCAGUGGCUCACACCUGUAAGGAGAAUUGCUUGAACCCAGGAGGUAGAGGUUGUAGUGAGCUGAAAUCAUACCACUGCACUCCAGCCUGGGCGACAGAGCAAGACACUGUCUCAAAAAAAAAAAAAAAAAAAAAAGACAAAGCCUUGAGGGCUGAGGAAGAAAUGUGGAAACUGCCCUUUCCCUUUGUUCUUGUCUAAUGCAGUCACAAAGUCUGGAGCAGUAGCAGCCAUUUUUCAACCAUGAGGCAGUAAGCAUGAAGCCUAAAACCAGCAUGCCAAGAAGGACAAAGCAGAAAGACUGAAAUCUCUAAGGCCCUUGCAGACACCCUUACUGCAUCAGUUCCAGACUUGGCUCCCAUAGCUCCAGAUGUGGCCAUGGCCACUGUAUAUGUAAGCUUGAUGGAAUAAGCACUAAUGCGGCACCUUAGAGCUGCUGGAAAAGAGACCAAUGGACAUGUACGAAUGGGGGAUCCUGCCAUUUGCCGAGUAAAGGCCUCCUGUGUAGAAGGUGUCCUUUGAUAAGCAUUCACAUGGAAUACAAAUCUCCACUCAUCUCUCCCCAAUCCAAAAGGUUCAUCCACACCCCCUCUCCAGACCUUCUUGUCUUUCUGUCUCCAAACAUGUUCUUUCCAAGUUUCUGAACCUUCAAAGUGUUAGUGACUGUCCGUGAACUGGAGUAGACCCAACCCUUCUGGCUUUCUUGCUUGCUUUUUUUUUUUUUUUUUUUUUGAGAUGGAGUUUUGUUCUUGUUGCUCAGGCUGGAGUGCAAUGGCGCGAUCUCGGCUCACCACAACCUCCGCCUCCCGAGUUCAAGCAAUUCUCCUGCCUCAGCCUCCUGAAUAGCUGGGAUCACAGGCGUGCGCCACCACGCCCGGCUAAUUUUGUAUUUUUAGUAGAGACGGGGUUUCUCCAUGUUGGUCAGGCUGGUCUCAAACUCCUGACCUCAGGUGAUCCACCUGCCUCGGCCUCCCAAAGUGCUGGGAUUACAGGUGUGAGCCACCGCACCCAGCCCACUUCCCUGUUGAUUCUGUCUCUCUGGAAGAACCCUCACUAAUAAACUUUACUUGACCUUCAAAAUAAUAAUGCUCAAAAGACACCCUCAUUUGGGGUGCCAGAGUCUGGCAUUUGUUCUCUACCAGUGCCUGGUAGCAAAUCUGAAGCUGUGUAAUGCUUAAAUGGAGAAUAGUCAUUUUCAGAGGAGGGUAUAUCUUUGCUCUAAACCCCUUGGAGUCUGUGCUGUGACUUUUAUUUUUUAUUUUUUUUUUUGAGACAGAGUCUUGCUCUUGUUGCCCAGGCUGGAGUGCAAUGGCGUGAUCUCGGCUCACUGCAACCUCCGCCUCUUGGGUUCAAGUGGUUCUCCUGCCCCAGCCUCCUGAGUAGCUGGGAUUAUAGGCACCCACCACCACACGCAGCUAAUUUUUUGUAUUUUUUAGUAAAGACUUUAAAGACAUUUCAAUUUCACCAUGCUGGCCAGGCUGGUCUUCAACUCCUGACCUUAGGUGAUCCACCGCACCUUGGCCUCCCAAAGUGCUGGGAUUACAGGAGUGAGCCACUGCACCCAGCCUGUGCUGUGACUCUUAUACUGGUCCCUGCCAGAACUUACAGGAGCAUGACCUGUCACGGACAACCUGAGCACCACUGGAUCUGCAGGGUUAUCUGUCAAAUGGGUCGGAGCAGCAUACUCAAAUGUGGUCGCUAUUAUCUCUAAAAGUCAAGGAAAGCCAGCAGUGCAGGACACUCAAAUCCAGACGUCAUUCCACUAGCUAAGCUAAGCAAACAGUUGGAGCUAUCCCAGCUGUCGAAGCUAACACGCUGCAUUUAGACUCUCUUGCAAGUCAGCUGUGUUGGUAACUAGAGGCUCUGGAUUGACACAUUAGAAUCCACUCCCAUACAUUCCCCAGGUUUUGGCUGGUAAAAAUUGAUUGAUAUCCCAUAAUUCCUUCAGCAUGUGAACUUCUC